rnacentral:rRNA from 1 species
GAUAAGCGCCGGUAAGGUGAUAUGAACCGUUAUAACCGGCGAUACCCGAAUGGGGAAACCCAGUGUGACUCGUCACACUAUCAUUAACUGAAUCCAUAGGUUAAUGAGGCGAACCGGGGGAACUGAAACAUCUAAGUACCCCGAGGAAAAGAAAUCAACCGAGAUUCCCCCAGUAGCGGCGAGCGAACGGGGAGGAGCCCAGAGCCUGAAUCAGCAUGUGUGUUAGUGGAAGCGUCUGGAAAGGCGCGCGAUACAGGGUGACAGCCCCGUACACAAAAGCGCAUGUGCUGUGAGCUCGAUGAGUAGGGCGGGACACGUGGUAUCCUGUCUGAAUAUGGGGGGACCAUCCUCCAAGGCUAAAUACUCCUGACUGACCGAUAGUGAACCAGUACCGUGAGGGAAAGGCGAAAAGAACCCCGGCGAGGGGAGUGAAAAAGAACCUGAAACCGUGUACGUACAAGCAGUGGGAGCACCCUUUGGGUGUGACUGCGUACCUUUUGUAUAAUGGGUCAGCGACUUAUAUUCUGUAGCAAGGUUAACCGAAUAGGGGAGCCGGAGGGAAACCGAGUCUUAAUUGGGCGUUAAGUUGCAGGGUAUAGACCCGAAACCCGGUGAUCUAGCCAUGGGCAGGUUGAAGGUUGGGUAACACUAACUGGAGGACCGAACCGACUAAUGUUGAAAAAUUAGCGGAUGACCUGUGGCUGGGGGUGAAAGGCCAAUCAAACCGGGAGAUAGCUGGUUCUCCCCGAAAGCUAUUUAGGUAGCGCCUCGUGAAUUCAUCUCCGGGGGUAGAGCACUGUUUCGGCUAGGGGGCCAUCCCGGCUUACCAACCCGAUGCAAACUGCGAAUACCGGAGAAUGUUAUCACGGGAGACACACGGCGGGUGCUAACGUCCGUCGUGAAGAGGGAAACAACCCAGACCGCCAGCUAAGGUCCCAAAGUCAUGGUUAAGUGGGAAACGAUGUGGGAAGGCCCAGACAGCCAGGAUGUUGGCUUAGAAGCAGCCAUCAUUUAAAGAAAGCGUAAUAGCUCACUGGUCGAGUCGGCCUGCGCGGAAGAUGUAACGGGGCUAAACCAUGCACCGAAGCUGCGGCAGCGACACUGUGUGUUGUUGGGUA